UAGAAUGAAGCUCGCUGGAUAGAGUGUUUAGCUGUUAACUAAAAUAUUACGGGAUCAAGGCCCGUCUUUCUAG
rnacentral:tRNA from 4 species